rnacentral:rRNA from 1 species
CUGCUGCCUUCCGUAGGAGUUUGGGCCGUGUCUCAGUCCCAAUGUGGCCGGUCACCCUCUCAGGUCGGCUACUGAUCGUCGCUUUGGUGGGCCGUUACCCCGCCAACUGGCUAAUCAGACGCGGGCCCAUCCCAUACCACCGGAGUUUUUCACACCGGGCCAUGCGGCCCUGUGCGCUUAUGCGGUGUUAGCAGUCAUUUCUAACUGUUAUCCCCCUGUAUGGGGCAGGUUGCCCACGCGUUACUCACCCGUCCGCCACU